AACGAACGCUGGCGGCAUGCCUAACACAUGCAAGUCGAACGAGACCUUCGGGUCUAGUGGCGCACGGGUGCGUAACGCGUGGGAACCUGCCCUUAGGUUCGGAAUAACUCCCCGAAAGGGGUGCUAAUACCGGAUAAUGUCUUCGGACCAAAGAUUUAUCGCCUUUGGAUGGGCCCGUGUUGGAUUAGCUAGUUGGUAGGGUAAAAGCCUACCAAGGCGACGAUCCAUAGCUGGUCUGAGAGGAUGAUCAGCCACACUGGGACUGAGACACGGCCCAGACUCCUACGGGAAGCAGCAGUGGGGAAUAUUGGACAAUGGGCGAAAGCCUGAUCCAGCAAUGCCGCGUGAGUGAUGAAGGCCUUAGGGUUGUAAAGCUCUUUUACCCGGGAUGAUAAUGACAGUACCGGGAGAAUAAGCUCCGGCUAACUCCGUG
rnacentral:rRNA from 1 species